AGUGAACGCUGGCGGUAGGCCUAACGCAUGCAAGUCGAGCGGCAGCACAGUAAGAGCUUGCUCUUACGGGUGGCGAGUGGCGGACGGGUGAGGAAUACAUCGGAAUCUACUUUUUCGUGGGGGAUAACGUAGGGAAACUUACGCUAAUACCGCAUACGACCUACGGGUGAAAGUAGGGGAUCUUCGGACCUUGCGCGAUUGAAUGAGCCGAUGUCGGAUUAGCUAGUUGGCGGGGUAAAGGCCCACCAAGGCGACGAUCCGUAGCUGGUCUGAGAGGAUGAUCAGCCACACUGGAACUGAGACACGGUCCAGACUCCUACGGGAGGCAGCAGUGGGGAAUAUUGGACAAUGGGCGCAAGCCUGAUCCAGCCAUACCGCGUGGGUGAAGAAGGCCUUCGGGUUGUAAAGCCCUUUUGUUGGGAAAGAAAAGCAGCAGGUUAAUACCCCGCUGUUCUGACGGUACCCAAAGAAUAAGCACCGGCUAACUUCGUG
rnacentral:rRNA from 1 species